rnacentral:pre_miRNA from 1 species
GCACAGAUGGUGUUCAGCACUAAGGACAGGUGGGUUUACUUGUGUGUUAAUGGUGUUCAGCUUUAAGGACAAAUUUAUUUACUA